UUAAUCUUGAAAUAUUAACUUGAAAUUGUAAAAAUAAUUUAAAAAGAAAAAAAGAAACGAUUCGAAAUUAUUUACGAAAACCAGUUGCAUUUAUAUUCUUCUGUUUGAAUCGUAUUAUCCGAUUAUCGAAUAAGAAAAAAUUUCGACGUACUUCAAAUAGAUGCGAUAUUUCAUAAGAGAGAGAGAGAGAGAAAGAGGGAGGGGGGAGGAAAAAAAGUGUAUCCAAUCGUAUCCAAUUAUUUUCUUAAUUCAUGUACUUGUAUAUUUUUAUUCGAGGACCAUUAUUCACCGGAUAAGUAAACGCAAUUUCAUGCAAGAAUAUCGCGAGAUUCGUACAGAUUUAAUGCGACUCGAGUUGGAGAAAAAAAAAAGAAAAAAAAAAAUCGAAGGAAAAAAAAAAGUAUUCCACGCGAUCGAGUUUGCAAAUUUUUGCACAAACUUUAAUUGGCCGAGAUACACCGCGGGACGCGUGCCUUGUAUGUAUCCUUUGUCCUUUCUAUCUCUCUCUCUCUCUCUCUUUUCUUUUUCUUCCUUUUUUUCCCCAUUUUCAUUGGCUUCUUAUUUUCGAUGCAAGAUACAUGUCGACACUUUGAGGAUGCGGGCCUCCGAGGGUACCAAUUACGAUCGGCAGCUGCCACGUUGAAACGUUACAUUUGCGAAUAUAUUUUGAUUUGAAUGUAGACAGCCACUAAAAGUAUUAUAUACCCAGACGUUUUUCUUCCUUCUCCUAUGCUCCUUCUUAUUCCCGAUUAAACUUGAGCAUAAACAUUUUCAAUCGUCGAUAGAACGGUGAAACGGUACGGUAAGAAAUAUUAUUUAUGGGAAUCUUGGUGGCGAUUCUUGGGAAAGAUGGACGGAUAAACUUAUAAUUUCGACUUACGACAAUUUUCUCUCUCAACUCUCUUUCUUCUACAACCGAUAUUAUACAACCGACAUUAUCCCUACUUGUAUUUGUUUCUUGCUCCAUUUAUUCUACUCGUACCUAUAUACCCUUUUUUCUUUAAUUUGCAAUUUAUAAUCCGUAAUUUAUAGACACACUUUUUUCGAGACGUUUCUCCGGCGGAGAGGAGGGGAUAGAAGGCGCGUGCUCAAUUGUGGCCGAGCACGCACGCGCGAAAGAAAUAUCGCGCAUCAGAAUUCAUCUUAGCCCGAUGCGCCUCUGCACCUGUCUUUGCCUCUCAGAAGCUCGUUUACUGUCGCACGUUACGUCACAGCCUCUCCUCGAAUCCCCACCACUCGACCGAAAAACGCGCGCGCAACCUGUAUCGGGGGAAAAUAGUAUUCUAAUUCGUCUCUCUCUCUCUUUCUCUUUCUUCCUCAUUUAUCGAUCAAAUUGCUUCAAGAAUACCUCUCAAUCUAGAAGAAACACAUUUUUCUCUCUUCUUCUCACGAAUACGUUUCGAAUUAUUCUCCAUUCUACUCGAGAUCGCUCGUUUCACGAAGAUAGAAUCGACAAAUUUUUCUCCAUUCUUCGAGAGAUUCGGAAAAGUAUUCUUUCGGGAGCGUUAUCACGCGAGUAUCGUGGAAUCGAUUCGAAUCUCGGGAUUCGGCCGGUAGCCUCCUCCCCCCUCCCUUCCUCCUCCCCAUCCACUCCGUGGAGAAGUUAGGCAAGGUGUCGACGGUGGCCGUAGGACCGUUGGGAGUCUGGCGAGGUGCAGGUGACGAGUCCGGUGGUCCUCUCGGACGCGCACGACCCUGUGUCCGAGUGUGCGUGUGCGUGCGUGUCACCGCGGCCGUGAACAAGGACGGGCGAAGACGGGUGGCGCUCGUGCGACGAGGAGAAGAACUCCGCUGGGCGGACGACGCGGGGGGAAAAGAAAGACGGGCGAAGGAGGGGGUGGGAGGGAGGGAGGAAAUAAAUAAAGAAAGAAGGAGAGACCUGUAAAAUCGUAUCCGAAGAGAGUCGAGCGGCGGAGGGCGCGUGGCAGCGGUGCGCAGCUGCAGCUGCCGUUUUCGUUCUCCGCGCGCGUAUAAGCCGCGCACUACUCUACCGUCUCCCUCGUCCUCUUUUCACGCGUGCGCGCCACUCUCCGAUACCGGUGGCGCGCGCCAACGCUCAUUAACGCCAAACUCCCUCUUCUCUCUCCCUCUUUCUCUCUCUCUCUCUCUCUAUCUAUAUCGAGUUUUCCUCUCGUUUCUUUUGAUUUUUGCAAUUCAGGAGAGAACGUGUGUCCUCCAGUCUCGUUUCUUCCCUUCGAACUUUUUUCCCUUUCGUUCGUGAUUUUCUCUUUUUCGCAAUUGGCCAUUCAGAGGCAUCUAGCGGACAUCGUUUACAUUAGAUAUCAUUCGAAUCGCGUUUCGCCAAGACGUAGCGCUAAUGACAGAUACUUUUCUUUCGAUUCUUCCUUUUUAUUCAAUUUAUACGCGACAAAUUUAGUAUUCUUUAAAUUUAUACUAAAUAAUUUUAUACUAAAUUCGUGAUCACGUAGCGAUUUACGUUUCGAAAAAUAAUAUCCAUUUUAAAUUACUUCGUGAAGUUUAAUAAUUCGAAUUUGUGAUAUUUCUCAUUGCUACGCGUAAUUAAUUUUCACUUCUUCGUAACUAUAUCAAAAUUAUUUGUUAAAUUGCUCGUAUAAAAGAAAAUAUAGACACACUUUAUCUACAUACAAACUCGUGGCAAGAAGAGAGAUCGCGCGAAAAAGGGAUGAAUCGUUUCGUAGGGGAAAAAUUAUGGACUCGUUAACGCGGAUUAAAGUUACACACAGUCGCGGUUGUGGUGGUGGAAAUAAAUCACGGUGCGUUCUACCCCAGGUUUCGAGACGGCGUUUUGCCGGCAGCCACGGACCCCGCCGUUCUCCUCCACCGUUUUUCAUAACGGUGGCUUAAUUAACGCGAGCCAUCUGACGUCCGAUGUGUUUUGUAAUAUCCUGCGAAAUCUGGUAAUAAUAACGAACACACUCCAGGUGAUGCUCUCCCGGUGUUUUGUCGUCCCACUUUGAGAUCAGAUAGACGGACGUCUUAUUAACACCCAACGUUUUCCUUCUUCCAACCAAAUUUCAUUUACGAUAAACUUCGAAUAAAAUUCCCCAAUUCAUUGAUUUUUCCCUAACGAAACAAUAUCAAACCGUCCGAUAUUUGGGGAAUUAAUUUUUAGGAGGUUGGCAAUACACGAGGUUUCGUUCGCGCGUUAAUGAAUCCGUUAAAAAAUAUUUUUACGGUCUAUUUUCUUGGGAUUAUUUUCCGUAACGUGAACUCGUUCAAAAAAAUCGCUUGAAAAGAUUUCUAAUUGAAAACGUAAUUAAGCUUUUCCUAACGAGUGAGAAAUUUAACAAACGAAAGAAAUUUUUAGUCGUAAUUUUUUAGAUCGAUUUGAUUUAAUUUUAUCUGAGCUUUCGUUUCAUCGACGUGAUAACGCACACGUUGAAUUAAAAUAUUCGAGCGAGAGCAUUAAAAUUUAGUUUUUACAACUCGGCAGCCCGGGACCGAGAUCACUGGAAUGCCGCCAAAAAUUAUUUCCCUUAACCGACUUCCGUCAGCCGCUCGGCUUACGGUCCGUCGAUAAAUUCUUUUCUUUACAUUUACGACUCGACUUUUAUCCAUGCGAUGAAACGAGGAAUUGAAACGGGGGGAGGGGAAAAAAUAAAGCAAGACCUCCGUCGACGUCCCACCGUCGACACCAGACACCAAACAAUUUCAAUGUUCGAGCGAGUUACGUAAAAAACGAUUUACCUCUUCGAUCGAAUCUACCGAACGGUUACUGCUCCCCUAGUAAUUCUAACUCCUGCUCAUUGAAACGAACAAAAUAAUACCAAUUCUUCAACACGCAUAUAUAUACAUAUAUAUUAAAAAAUUUCAAAGAAAGCCGCAAGGAAUCCACCAGCUAAACCGGGCCAUUACUUGUUUCCUGUUUCGAGAAACGGAUAUAUCUCGAGCCAUUGGUUCCUCUUUUCAGCGUUUCUCCGUUCGUUCUGCGCGCAGCAACGUUUCGCGAGACGUGUAGUGGCUCGGCCGGCCGCGUCAAAAUCGGGCAGAGAGAGAGAAAGAGGGAGGGAGACCGAGACAGAGAGAGAGAGAGCUAGCGACAAAAAGCUCGGGCACCGAGGCACAAUGAACGCCCACUCCGCCAUUAUUUUCAAUUCCAUGCAUUCAAGCAUUGAACCGCCUCCGGAAUCGCCUAUUCCUCACCGUGUGGAAUAUCGGCUUUUAUUAUAAGCAUUCGCACACACGUGUACACGUAUCCUGCCGGUGUACGCCAGUGCGCGCCACUGCGGUCCGCGCGGCGCGGCGCGGGGAGGGGAGGGGGUCGUGAAAACGGUCGUGUGAGCGGGCGCAUAGAGUCUUGCCGUUAUUAUUCGCAUUGAUAAAUGAUCGCCGGGCCGCGUCACGGCGAACAAUGGCGUCGGCGGCGGAGAACGUUUCCUCCGGAUACGUACGGAGAGUACGACGCCACUCGCCCGUCCAAACCUUCCCCCACUCUUUUUUUUCUUUUAACUUCGUUUCCACGCCGAUUACCAUUUCAUUCGGACCGCUUUGUCUCUAGAAGCGCAGGACGUCCAUUCAAAUCUCUCUUCCUUUCGCGGACAACGGAUUUCGCACUUUCUUCCCCAGACUCUGCCCGGAGACCAAUCUUUUUGGGGUGGAAGCGAUGUGUAAUAUCGGCAGAGAGACAGAGAGAGAGAGAGAAGUGACAGAGUACAUGGAAGGUUGGCGAAGACGCGAGCAGGAAGAGAGUAGAGGGGAUGGUUGGCGCGUGGCUCGAUUCCUCUUCCCCACCUCUCGUGGCCGAGAGCCACCGAGAGAUCCGAAACUCGCGCGCGGCCGUCCGGAGAGCGAGGCAGAUGCCAAGGUACUUCUUUCGGGUCUGGCUCUUAACCGAGGCGGUAUUAAAGGUAGGAGAGAAGCCGACACCACCGAGAAAGGCUGUAAGAGGCAAGCACCUGCCGUAAGCGCAUGGUGUCGGGUCACUCGGCUCCUCGAACACGAUCGUCCAUAGCGCCUAACCCGACCGGCUUGGCUUGGCUUGGCUCGCCUUCUUCCUCCGCUGGCCUCGCUCCACUGAUUGCCCCUAUGCCCACAUCUACCCACUACGAAAAAUCAGUCGGAUGAGAAGAGGAGAACGUACCUGUCGCAUAAAGUAGCCGCGUCAUUAACUAGCGUGUCUCCCUUCCCUCGCUGCGAGCCGUUCCCUUUUUCUUCUAACGUCGAUAAUCGGUCGAAAAAAAAAGGAGAGAUUCGCGGAGAAAUCUUCUCGACAAUUCUUUCCUUUUCCUUUUUCUCCUCCCCUCGAACGAAUCGUAUAUUCCUCGCUACAUUCAUCGCAUAUAAUUCGUUAAAUAUUGCGUUUCAUACGUGUAAUGUCUGGCAUCGAUAAAAAUACGGGAUAAACAUCGGAAAUUUGUCAAGAUUUUCACUGGAAACAAAGAAAUGUAGAUCUGAUUGAUUGAUAUGGGAAGAAACAUCUAUUUUCAUAAUUAUUUGUCACAUAUAUUAAUCCAAUUUUUUUAUUUCUCAUGUAUAAGCUAAUUAUGAUUUGUAACAAUUGUUUAAUUUAUAAAUAUUAACGUAACUUCAAUGAAAAUAAUUUUUACUUAUCCAACAUUUAAGAUUUUCAAUAUUUAAAUUAUAAUUUUCCUACUACCAUGUGUAGUUUUUAAACAAAGUGUAAAAAAGUGGGGAUCGGUAAUAGUCCGAACGUCCUCUUGUCCUUCUAUCGUCUCGCGAGACUUUUUUUCGGCAGUAAACAACCGCAGAAACUUCUCGUACAAGUGGUAAAGAGAGAGAGAGAGAAAGAGAAACGUUAAAAUACGGAAAGUUUGCCGCGUCCCCUUGUACGAACGUUACGAGAUCGAGAGGAGAUAAGGCUCGCCUCGUUCCUCUUUCUCUCUCUCUCCCAUUGUCUCUAACGGAUGAUUCUCGAUUCGAAAUAGGAGCACGUGCCUCGGUUCUCAUUUCGAAAUGAAAUGUCCUCGAAUGUGUGGAGGAUCAAAGGAUAUACAACCUGCGUUUAUUAUAGGCAAACAGGGAAGGAAAGAGAGGGAAGGCAGGUUGGCAGGCGAGCGAGGUACGUACGUACGACCCGCAUGAUCGAAAUGAAGAAAUAGCGCUGCGACAGAGAGAGAGAGAAAGAGUGAGGAGGAAGGAAGAGAGGGAACGACGUUAAAGAGACUCGGCUGCAUCGAUCGGCAGUACUAACCCAGUGAACGUGACACCCAACCGCUGCUGCUCAAGCAUGCAAGGCUGCGUUCGAGUGUCCGCUCACUUUUUAUCCAAGACCGGUCUUCUAUCGACGGCCGUCUAGCGCGGGUCUAUCGUCAAUUCCCUUUCUCGCAUUAUCGCAUAGCGGAAGAAAAUAACGGGAGGGAAAUUUCUUUCGAUAUUAUUAACGCGAUUUUGAUCGCGUUCAAUAUUUGCAAACAAAUUUGACCGCAUUCCAAAAGGAGGGACGGCGAUAUUCCGAUCCUUUUUUCCAACGGUAACGCGAUAUUAUACCCCGUGUAAAAUUGCUAUUUUAUGAUCGAUGAAAGAUCGCGUUUGAAAAUGGACAGAGGGCGAUACUCGUAACCGUAAACGUACGUUUUUAUUGAAAACGAUCGAUCAGAACGAUUCUUUUACCUUUCUCUUGGAAACGUCCCAAUCGGUGUGUUACUACGUUUAUAGAAACUCGUCGAAAUUGUCCGAUUAAACGAGCAACCUUGGAAUUACAAUAAAUACGAUUCGAUAAAAUUUUAGAAGAAAACACAUGCGAGUGGCAUAUGAAAUAGGAUUUAGAUAGAGAUUUUUUUUUUAGAUAUAUUUCCCCCUCGCAUCUCUCUCUCUCUCUUUUUACGUUCCAUGAGUCAGAGUGGAGGGUAGGGGAGCGCAUUACGACACAGGCACGUAUGAAACAAACGUGGAGGACGAAAAGAGGGUGAUUAGGACAGAUUGGCGCCCAGUUCUGAUUACGUCUCGCAUCACCUGCCCCUUUGCAGGUGGUUCCCUGAUCCCACGAAUAUUUAUCCUCGUGCUCGAUCGAUAACCGACCACCGACCAGCCGCUCGACAACCCCGUCCAAGAUACCGCUUCGAUACGUACACCCCCGUACGUAAUCACUUGUACGCUCUCUUUUUGAUCGCCCACGAUAGUCCCGCUUCCGUUCCAACAAACGUUGCAAACGUUCGUAUAGGGGAGAAAAAAAAAAAAAAAAAAAAAAAAAAAAAAGAACACAUUGCACUUUUUGACCAGUUUAAAGAUUGGAAUAGAACUAGAUCCACAAAUUCUCGAUUAUCGGAAGGCUUAUAUCGUUUCAGCUUGUUUGAUCUGCUUUUAUCACUGACCAUAGUUAUGCCACAGCCGUAUGCCGGAACGUAUAUAUAUUUUUUUUUUUUUUUUUUUUCUUCCAUCCACCCUCGCUUUCCCGACAAUCACUUAUACGCGGGAGUCUGCACCUGGCCACCCCCGCACACACUCUCACUCCUUUGGCCACCUUACCUCGAUUCUAUAUUCUUUCGUGCAUAUGCUCAGUAUCGUAACUAAUUUCUAUUACACAUUUUCUUCCAUAACGAAUUUUACGAUUAUUAAUUCUUUAAAGAAAAAAAUUAAUUUUAUAUAUAUAUACUUCUUAUAACAAAGACGUUGUAAUAAAAACACCUUGUGUUUGGAAACGCUUCUGUGUAAACACGAGAGGGAAGUCGUUUCAUUUGCGAAAGGAUACGUAAACAAAGCUGAACGACCGACUGAAUUACGUCUCCACCUGUAACACAAUGCUACCACUUCUCUGAACUGUACUUCGAACUGUCCUCGCUCGUCUACUCUCAAACGAUACAUCCAUCGAAGAAUUCAUCAUCAAGAGAUUCGCAAGAGACGAGCAAAACGAUGGUGAAUGAAACUGCCGAGUUUAACUUUUCCAAGGGCUACGCGAGAGGUCAGCCGCGAGCAAACCAACCGCGGGGCGUCAUGGCGGCUCGAUACGCGUCUGCCCGAGCGUCGCGCGCAGCCUGCCAGAGAACAACACACAGAGAAGAAGAAACGUUGUUGGCCGCCGCCGCCGCCGCCGCCGCCACAAUCGCCGCUUCCCAAACAGAAAAAUUCGAAGUAACGAUCGCGGCAGAUGCGAGCACCCAUACGUGAAUUUGCUUCCCAACCCUUUUCUCCAACAACGGAAUAAUAAUCGUCGAUAAUAAUAAAUGCUCUUUCACCCCUUUUUCCAUCGAUUCGUUCGAAAACAGCCUCUGGAAAUCAUCCCUUUUCCGUUUCCAAUACUACGCACACACUCGAGCGUUUAUUUGAAUAAGACAUCUAGAUGAUGAUGGGGCAGCUGCGAGACGAGCUUUUUUCCACUUUUCCACAGAUUUUUGCACGGCGCAGGUGAUGCGGGCACGCGACCAUCCAUCCCUACCCGCACAAACCCUUUCGAGGGAACUGUCCGCCGUGAAUCGCUCGAGGAUCUCGAUUCGAGGCGAGGAAAAGGAUCCAUAGGGGAAGGAGGGGCGAGAACAGAUGCUUUCUCCCGGCGAAGAACCACCACCAACCGUGCACACGUCAAAACAGGAUAAUCCUUACCUUUUAACCUACCGUUCCUUUGGAUCGUGUCCGACGAUUCACUUCAUUUCGCGAAAAAUUUUAAACCGCCCCUUCUCUCGUAACGUACGAAAGAAGAACGCGUGGUAACGAUAUCGCGACGAGGCAUUUUAUUCCCACGCAUUUUCGUUGCGUGGCACGGUCUGGCACGCAAAACAAAGGCGCUCGCAACAACCCUCGAUCGUUGCCCUAAUAACGGUAACGUGUAUACCCUUUUAAUCGGGAGGGGGGAAAAACUCCCUUAAAUCGCGCCACGAUAAUUGGCAGGGUCGGGCGCAAUAACGACGACAAAACGGCCGCGAUAUCGUCAAUAACGCCAUAUGCCGCUCGCGAGAACGAAUUCCUUCCUCGCUCUCCCACGAAGCGAUAAUUCGCCAACGGUCGAACAUCUCCUCUAAUUUACGAUUGAAUCGCUUCUAAGAAUAAACUAAGAGAGAGGGGGAUGGGGGAAGUUGGUUCGCCUCGAAAAGAAAAAAAGAAAGAAACGUUAGCUAGGAAAGAAAGUAAGAUCUAAAAAAGGAUAGGAAAUACUGUAUAGGGCUAUAAACGGGUGUCUGACCGCGCCAGCCACAUGUCAUCAAGAUGCCUACAACGCGUGAAGAAAUGCGAAAUGCAUUGGCUAUCGGUUGGCGGGAGCAAAGAAUAAUAGGGUGGUGGCCAGAAACGAAGAUACGAAGGGAGCGAAGGUGCUGCUGCCAGCCUCGAAUGCUGCCUGGCCGUGAGGAAAAAGAAGACGAGCGAGGAUCAUUGCGAGAACAAACUGGAAUUAGAACUGGAAAGAAGGAAGAAAUUGCGUUUCCCAAUGAUGCACGAUAUACAAUCGUUUCGUACUGGCAGAAUUUAUUUCGCGAUCGAUUCGAUGGACGGAGAGAAACAAUGCGAAAGUUGGGCAUCAGAUGGCAGAGCGGGCAGCGGACGAUCGUGGACCAUCUGGUGGUCCACUCUGGCAUACGGCGAGCAUCCGACGUAUAAGCAUCGUACGUGAAAAAAAGAAAAGAAAAAGAAAAGUCGAAAACUCGAUACCCAGGAUAUAAGCCGAGAGGAAUUUGAAGAUAAUCAGGACGAGCAACCAGGAGGAGACAGCUGUACUCGGGAUAAUCCCGAUUAAAGUAAACGGGGGGGAAAAACAAUGUGGAUACAAGGAAAUCACAUUGGAAUCAGGAUUCGAAUUUUAAUCCCCAGGAAACGCGGCUAUCUGUCGGAGCUAUCUCGUAAAACGGAAUACACACGAAUGCUUCGAAUCGGAAGACUUUUUCGGUGGAACACGCUAAAAAGAUUUCGUCACUUCUCGCUUUGACGGAUCCAUACUAUCGCGCGGAACAAGAUCUUCGUAACAGAAGAAUGAAGUUCGUAUAAAAUUCGACGAAUCUUCGAUGCUGUUGAAUUUGACAGUCAUCGUUGUGUACGGAUUGUAUAUUAUUAAUAAUAAUAAAGUGUUUGCUCGUUAUCGAUUUUUUUAUUAUUUGUACUCGACUGGAACGGGCUGAAAUAUAUCGUAUAAACGAUCGAUCACGAAUUAUUUAUUUAUAUUUGGAUAAAAAAUUCGAAUUCGUUCUCGACGAUUAAUUAACCUGGUUUAAUCGAUCCCUCCCUGAUCAACCAAUUUAUCAAGCAAACGAGCGUACGUUAAAUGAGAUACGAUCGUUCAAUAUUUUCCAAGUUGAUAAAGUUUUACGAAAUUUUUUAAUCUUUUUCUCGUGUUUAACGUUAAUCAAUUUUAAUAAAAAAGAAAAUGUUUUUUAAAAUACACGUUAAAUAAUUAUGGCUACCAUUAUCAAAACGCGAAUGUAAACAGUUUAAAGCGUAAUAAUAGUUUCAAGAUUCUAUAACACUUUGUUAAAACUACUAGUUUUAAGCAACAACACGAGAAUAACGAGAACGAUAAGUAGACGGUGAAAAUAUUAAAGUAUUAAAUACCUUUCAGCUAUCCUUUACAUUCCUUUAAUAUUCAUGCCGAUGAUUGCCUCAGAUUACAUGUAAUUUCUGUAUCAAAAAGAUACGAUACGAAUCACUGCCCCUAGCUAUAAAUAGUUUAUGCAAAUUACCCCUAUAUAGCAUCGUGUGCCCCCUCGUAAAAUCAUUAAAGGAACGGAGUAUUAAGAUAUCCAUGAUUUUUCUCUUCUCUCUCUCUCUCUCUCUCUUUAUCAACAAUUUCCUCCCCUCUCGCGUGCCGUUUCACUUUCACGUUGGUUUAUUCGCGUUGGAAAAGUUAUUCCCAACGACAAAUCGAUACGAAAAUCGUAUGUACGACGGAGCGAAAAACCUCGCCUCGCUCGAAAAACCUCGCAUUAUGCAAAUUCCAAAGGAAUUCCCGGCCCAUUCCCUCCCUUCCCGCCAUUUGAAAAAUUUCUUCAGAAUCCUUCUCUCGUGAAAUUGAAAUUUCAGCCCG